rnacentral:rRNA from 1 species
UACGUAGGGUGCAAGCGUUAAUCGGAAUUACUGGGCGUAAAGCGUGCGCAGGCGGUUAUGUAAGACAGAUGUGAAAUCCCCGGGCUCAACCUGGGACCUGCAUUUGUGACUGCAUAGCUAGAGUACGGCAGAGGGGGAUGGAAUUCCGCGUGUAGCAGUGAAAUGCGUAGAUAUGCGGAGGAACACCGAUGGCGAAGGCAAUCCCCUGGGCCUGUACUGACGCUCAUGCACGAAAGCGUGGGGAGCAAACAGG